AUUGAACGCUGGCGGCAGGCUUAACACAUGCAAGUCGAGCGGAGAUGAGGUGCUUGCACCUUAUCUUAGCGGCGGACGGGUGAGUAAUGCUUAGGAAUCUGCCUAUUAGUGGGGGACAACAUUCCGAAAGGAAUGCUAAUACCGCAUACGCCCUACGGGGGAAAGCAGGGGAUCUUCGGACCUUGCGCUAAUAGAUGAGCCUAAGUCGGAUUAGCUAGUUGGUGGGGUAAAGGCCUACCGAGGCGACGAUCUGUAGCGGGUCUGAGAGGAUGAUCCGACACACUGGGACUGAGACACGGCCCAGACUCCUACGGGAGGCAGCAGUGGGGAAUAUUGGACAAGGGGCGGAAGCCUGAUCCAGCCAUGCCGCGUGUGUGAAGAAGGCCUUUUGGUUGUAAAGCACUUUAAGCGAGGAGGAGGCUACCUGGAUUAAUACUCUAGGAUAGUGGACGUUACUCGCAGAAUAAGCACCGGCUAACUCUGUGCCAGCCGCCGCGGUAAGAC
rnacentral:rRNA from 1 species